AAGAGCCUACUCUGCAGGGUUCUGCAGCAAGCUGGGGAGAAAAAGGAACUCUUUAUGGAGAAUAGACAGCUCAAGGAACAACUGGAGAGAAAUUCAAUGUUGUUUCAAGAUAUGGCAGAGGAAAGACUCCAAUUGAAAGAACAAAUAAAGGACCUGGAAAGAAAGACCAUGAAGUUGAGCGAGGAGAAGGCCACCAUUGUAAAGAACUUCAGGGAGAGGCUGAGGAGAGCCAGAGACUAAAGGGGCUGCAACAUCAGGAGGACUUGGAAAUGCUCCAGAGGAUCCCACAAUGGACUGAAACAUCUGCCAGGAGCUUCAAGUAAAGAGAGACUCCUCCUCUCCUUCCCCUCCCCUCCUUUCCCUCCUCAUCCCUUCCCCAUCACCAAGGAGAAAUAAGUCUCUGUCUCAGCCACAUCCAGACAUUCCUGAAAAGUGCCCACAAGAACAUGGUCCCCUCGCUCAACUUCCGUAGGGU